GCAGUAGAUCGAUUCAUCGCUCUAUUUCGAUUUAUCGUGAUAGAGAGGAAAGUCCGGGCAACACAGAGCACCAAACUCCGGAAAGCGGAGAUAUUCGUGAGGGUAUAGGUUACAAAGAAGAAAAUAACCGUCCAGGCGCUUGUCGUCUGGAUAAGGGUGAGAAGGUGGAGUAAGAGCCCACCAGGCCGGAUGGCGACAUUCGGUGCUGUUUGUCUUUUGGGUUGCAAGAUCAUGUAUACCGGCAAUUAAGAACUGCUCGUUCGAUGCCGGGGGGUAGAUCGCUUAGAUAAAUGAUGAAUAGUACAAUUCGUUGUACCACAGAACCCGGCUUACAGAUCUACUGCCUUU
rnacentral:RNase_P_RNA from 2 species